CACAGCUUCACUGCAGCCAGCGUGGAGCAGGAUGCUGACAGCAGAGUGGCUCCAGUGAGCUGCCAUUCCAGAUGUCAGGAACAAGCUCACAGACUGAGUGAAGCCGAGAAGGAUUGCAAACACCAGUGAGAAAGGGCUGGGAGACAACAGUGACGGAGAAGAGGAGCAGGCUUUCAGGCGAUAAGGUGGCUGUGAACUGCUUUGAAAUGAGGACAGGCCUCCUGGGAGGAGGGAAGAAUGCACCGAAGCAUGCACUGAUGAAAGUUUCUAUCCAAAGACCCAGAGCCACACUGCUCUUCAUGGAAUGGGGCUGUAUCCUGGCUCAACAACCACAGCAUUUUCACACUUAACAAAAGAAAAGGUCUGUCAAAAUCCAGUAUGCCACCAACUGGGGAAUAUAAACCCCCUUUCUACUUUUUUUAAGUUUACAACAAAUUCAUAAAGCAAAGAGGCUUUUUUAUUUCAUGUUUGUCAAUAAACCUGGCAAUAGAAAUACCAAUUUGAACAGCAAUUUUCCUGCUGGUCUGAGCUGAAAUUAGCUAUGGAUGAAUUGGUUUUCAGUUUUUACAUGUAAAUAAUCUCCACACCCCCUGCUCCUAUAGACAGUUGUAAGACAUUACCCUGUUUCAUGGCCAUGUCUCUGCCCAAAUCUUUGGUUCUUGAAGGUGACACCCAUUUUUGCUGCAAUGACUCUGACCAAUUCUGGUCUAAAGCCUGGGCACAAAGGGCAUAUUGCUGCAACCACAUGGCCAGCAGGGAGGCGGAGGUGGCAGCCUGUCCAGACAGGGUGGAGAAAGGCUUGGAAUAUGGAUGUCCUGAGGACCAAUGGAGGCUUGCCCCAUUGACCUUCAUCACUGUGCCCCGCUGACCUUCAUCACUGUGCCCCGUGCCCCGCUGACCUUCAUCACUGUGCCUCACUGACCUUCAUCUCUCCCACUUCCAGAAUCACUGCUCAGAUUCCAGCCAAGCCCUGAGGGGGGUUCUGGAAAACUCUAUUUCAUUCUAGGGCUGAUGAUUUCCUAUAUUGGCAUUGCCAGAUUUAGCAAAUAAAAAUAUAACAAAUAAUUAUUAGUAUAAGUAUAUUC
rnacentral:lncRNA from 1 species